UAUUAAAAAAAUCAAGGAGUGUGGUGCUUUUGGAGAUUCUUUGGCCGCACUUUUUUUUUGUCUGUUCUCUCGCCCAAAAUAGGGAGAAAAAAAAGCCGUGAAAAAGAGGGGGGCGACCGGGGAAAAAAAACCCGGGGGCGGGGGAGCUCUCAUUUUUUUUGAGCUAAAGGUGUGGGGAGUCGUCCUGAGAAUUUUGGGUAAAACCGACAGGUUAUCUUUUCGAAUUUUCGAGAGAGACCUGCAGGCUUCGGGAGGGGGGGGGUUCGAGGUACUCUCCGGGUGUGGGUAAGAUUCUGUAAAUUUUGAGAGACCACCAGGGGGGAAGGCGUCCAAAUUGGAAGCAUAUCCUAGGUUAAGGACGAAACCCUGGUGGGCCAACGGGAAAUAAAACCCCCGUAAUCCCGGGGAUAAAAACCCUCCGGGUUUGGGGCCGGGGGGGGGGGGGAAGGGCCUUCGGGUGGCCGAAAAAAAAAUUUUUUAAAAACCUCCGGUUUAGGGGAAGAAGGGGGGCGAAAAAUUUAAAACUUUAAAAAGAAAUUGGGGGGGCCCCCCCCCCCCCAAGGGGGGGGGCGUGUCUGUUUAAAUUUUAAUUCCAACGCGGGAAAAAUUUUUCAAGGGGGGGGGGGGUAUAAUUGAAAGGGCCAGUUUGGACAACUUUUCCCUUGUUUUUACGGGGGGGGGGGGGGCAAGGCCCGCAGUUAUUUUCGUCCCGUUGGGGGGGUUUUCUUAAAAUUGAAUAAACGAAACGAGACCCCCCCCCUGUGUUAAUUUAGAGGCCGGUUCCGGGAAGGGGGCGGGGGCCCCUUUAUCCGGGAACCCCCCCCGCCCAAAAUAUGGGGGAAAGGGUAAAGCCCAACGGGGAAAGAAGUAUACCCCCCCGAUCCCCCUGGGGGUACCCCGGGCCCCUUCAAAAGGCCAAGAGAAAUAGGGUUUCCCAUAUGCCUAAAGCCCACAGGCUUUUUCUGAAACCCUUGCCCAGAAUUUGAUUUGAAGGGCUUUUACUCGGCCCCCCUCCAACUGGGGGUGCGUUAUAAUCGCGCGUUGAAAAUCUCACCGCGGUAAAAUAUCUCCCCUGGGUCGCUUGUAUAACACGGGGAGAGAGGGACGACGAUUGCAUUCAUCAACUCCGACGGAGACUAUUCUCCGCACACUUUUUAUGCGUAGGGUGGUUUCAUAUUCUUCUUCGGAGCGAGCGUGUUGUGCGACGCUACGU
rnacentral:rRNA from 1 species